rnacentral:lncRNA from 1 species
ACACACAUACAAAUUUAAACCAAUUAUAGAAUUCUAUAAUAAGGGAAUUCACCAACAAAAUAGUCAUUCAAUUGUUGAUUCGAAAAAUAAAGUAUCAAAUAAUAAUCUACAAGAUAAGUAAUAUCAAUGUUUAAACAACAUACAUAAAAAAAAAAAUAUUUAAACAAUAUUUAAAUAGGCACCCAACGCAGCUUUAGGGUCACUUUCAAGCCAAAAUGGUGUCCCAACCGUGGCUCGCAGCUAACUCAAACGCAAGAAUCAAUGCCAUAAAUUCAGUAUGAAGGACAGAAAAGUGAGGAAGUUUAGAAGCAAAACUCCCAAAAUGAUUGCCAUUAUGAUCACGG